rnacentral:rRNA from 1 species
GGGAGUACAUCAGCGGCAGACGGGUGAGUACACGUAGAUAACCUGCCCUCAAGACGGAGACAAGGGGCGAAAACAGCGGCUAAUACCCGAUAUGCUCACAGGAUCGGGAGGUCGAGUGAGGAAAGGCUACGGUGCUUGAGGAGGGAUCUGCGGACCAUCAGCUAGUUGGUGAGGUAACGGCUCACCAAGGCGAAGACGGGUAGGGGGUGUGAGAGCAUGGCCCCCCACAAUGGGACUGAGACACGGGCCAUACGCGGACGGCAGGCAGCAGCGGGGAAUAUUGCGCAAUGGACGGAAGUCAGACGCAUUUACGCCGCGUGGGUGAGGAAGGCCUUCGGGUUGUAAAGCCCUUUUCAGGGGAGCGAGAAAGGACGGUACCCUUGGAAUAAGCGUCGGCUAACUACGUGCCAGCAGCCGCGGUAAGACGUAGGACGCAAGCGUUAUCCGGAUUUACUGGGCGUAAAGCGCCUGUAGGCGGUCAAGUAAGUCGGAUGUGAAAGCCCCGUGCUCAACGCGGGGAAGCCAUUCGAUACUGCGUGACUAGAGAACGGCAGAGGGAAACGGAAUUUCUGGUGUAGCGGUAACAUGCGCAGAGAUCAGACAGAACACCGAUGGCGAAGGGCGUUUCCUAGGCCGCAUCUGACGCUGAGAGGCGACAGCUAGGGGAGC